rnacentral:rRNA from 1 species
GAACGCUAGCGGCAGGCCUAAUACAUGCAAGUCGAGGGGCAGCAGGGAUAGCAAUAUUCGCUGGCGACCGGCGCACGGGUGCGUAACACGUAUACAAUCUGCCUUUAACUGGGGGAUAGCCCGAAGAAAUUCGGAUUAAUACCCCAUAACAAUGGAACUGGCAUCAGUUCUAUUUAAAAGCUCCGGCGGUUAGAGAUGAGUAUGCGUCUGAUUAGCUAGUUGGCGAGGUAACGGCUCACCAAGGCUACGAUCAGUAGGGGAUCUGAGAGGAUUAACCCCCACACGGAUACUGAGACACGGAUCCGACUCCUACGGGAGGCAGCAGUAAGGAAUAUUGGACAAUGCCCGCAAGGGUGAUCCAGCCAUGCCGCGUGCAGGAAGACAGCCCUAUGGGUCGUAAACUGCUUUUACACCGGAGAAAACCCCACUACGUGUAGUGGGCUGAUAGUAUGGUGAGAAUAAGCAUCGGCUAACUUCGUGCCAGCAGCCGCGGUAAGACGAAGGAUGCAAGCGUUAUCCGGAUUCAUUGGGUUUAAAGGGAGCGUAGGUGGCCUUAUAAGUCAGUGGUGAAAUCUUCCAGCUUAACUCGGAAAUUGCCAUUGAUACUGUAGGGCUUGAGUAUAGUUGCCGUUGGCGGAAUAUGACAUGUAGUGGUGAAAUACAUAGAGAUGUCAUAGAACACCGAUUGCGAAGGCAGC